GGGGGUGAAAGGGUUCGACUUAAGAUAUGUCGGAUAAGAGCAGCAUGCCGCGGACGCAUGGUUAGCCGCGUUAACAAUCCUUGCACAAUCUAAACGCAAACACACCAGUGUUCACAAACCGACUGGCAAUGGUACCGGGUUUUCAACCGGUGGCAUUUCCGGCUGGUUGCGUACCAGCCUUACCUCACUAGCUGAGGUAAGCCCCUAACUGUCCUGCCUACGGGAUAGAUUAGGGCUCAAGUAGGAUAGCUCCGGUGAGUUAGCCUUCUAAACCGGGGCGAAAUUCGAAAAGGCUGCGCUUUGUAAAUCCUGCCGGGUGGGAGUUACAAGGGCUAAGAUAAAUCAUCAGGCUAAGCAUGUAGCGGCUUUUAUGCGAUUACUUAAGGACCCCGGUUCAAUUCCGGGCACCUCCACCA
rnacentral:tmRNA from 1 species